CGGCAAGAGCUGGCCGUGGAUGGCAAGAUAUCCAAGGACGCCAAGGAUACCGUGCAGGAGUGCGUCUCCGAGUUCAUCUCCAGCGAGUGCUGCAGGGUGAGCGACAAGUGCCAGAGGGAGAAGCGCAAGACCAUCAACGGCGACAACCUGCUCUGGGCGAUGGCAACGCUGGGGUUUGAGGAGUACAUUGAGCCCCUCAAGGUUUAUCUGUAG
rnacentral:rRNA from 1 species